UACGUAGGUGGCGAGCGUUGUCCGGAUUUAUUGGGUUUAAAGGGUGCGUAGGCGGCUUUGUAAGUCAGUGGUGAAAUACUCCAGCUUAACUGGAGGGGUGCCAUUGAUACUGCGGAGCUUGAGUACAGAUGAGGUAGGCGGAAUUGACGGUGUAGCGGUGAAAUGCAUAGAUAUCGUCAAGAACACCGAUAGCGAAGGCAGCUUACUGGGCUGUAACUGACGCUGAUGCACGAAAGUGUGGGGAUCAAGCAGG
rnacentral:rRNA from 1 species